GACGAACGCUGGCGGCGUGCCUAACACAUGCAAGUCGAGCGAAUGAAGUUCCUUCGGGAACGGAUUUAGCGGCGGACGGGUGAGUAACACGUGGGCAACCUGCCUCAUAGAGGGGAAUAGCCUUCCGAAAGGGAGAUUAAUACCGCAUAAGAUUGUAGUACCGCAUGGUACAGCAAUUAAAGGAGCAAUCCGCUAUGAGAUGGGCCCGCGGCGCAUUAGCUAGUUGGUGAGGUAACGGCUCACCAAGGCGACGAUGCGUAGCCGACCUGAGAGGGUGAUCGGCCACAUUGGGACUGAGACACGGCCCAGACUCCUACGGGAGGCAGCAGUGGGGAAUAUUGCACAAUGGGGGAAACCCUGAUGCAGCAACGCCGCGUGAGUGAAGAAGGUCUUCGGAUUGUAAAGCUCUUUUGCCAGGGACGAUAAUGACGGUACCUGGAGAAUAAGCCCCGGCAAACUUCGUGCCAGCAGCCGCCGUAACAC
rnacentral:rRNA from 1 species